rnacentral:rRNA from 1 species
UACAGAGGGGGCAAGCGUUGUUCGGAAUUACUGGGCGUAAAGGGCGCGUAGGCGGCCUUCUAAGUCGAACGUGAAAUCCCCGGGCUCAACCCGGGAACUGCGUCCGAUACUGGAAGGCUUGAAUCCGGGAGAGGGAUGCGGAAUUCCCGGUGUAGCGGUGAAAUGCGCAGAUAUCAGGAGGAACACCAAUAGCGAAGGCAGCUCGCUGGGACGUUACUGACACUGAGGCGCGAAAGCGUGGGGAGCGAACAGG